GAUGAACGCUAGCUACAGGCUUAACACAUGCAAGUCGAGGGACCGGCGCACGGGUGAGUAACACGUAUCCAACCUUCCCUUUACUCGGGGAUAGCCUUUCGAAAGAAAGAUUAAUACCCGAUAUAAAGGAUGGGGAUGCGUUCCAUUAGGUUGUUGGUGAGGUAACGGCAAACCAAGCCUUCGAUGGAUAGGGGUUCUGGGGGGAAGGCCCCACACAAUGGAAACGAGACACGGUCCAAACUCCUACGGGAGGCAGCAGUGAGGAAUAUUGGUCAAUGGGCGCUAGCCUGAACCAGCCAAGUAGCGUGAAGGAUGAAUGCUUUUGGGACGUAAACUUCUGUUAUAUAAGAAGAUGUAUUAUAUGAAGAAGGAUCGGCUAACUCCGUGCCAGCAGCCGCGGUAAUAC
rnacentral:rRNA from 1 species